AUGUGACGUCACACGCACGCCGUUCACAGGAAGUAGUAAUGGUUGAUUGAUGGCAAAAGGAGUCAAUCAAGUUAUCGCUGACAUUUUCUGGGUAAGCGUGGCUAUGCUGAGCAGGACGAUUACCUGGAUUCACUACCCAUUUAGAUUUCCAGGCAACAAAUAAGCUCCUCCAUGCCAGAGAAUUACUGUUCGUUCAAUCAAAACCUGCAUGUCAUCCUGGACUGUACAGAAAUCUGCUGUGAAAGCCCUACAUCACUGAAACUCCACUCUGAAGUUAUAAGUGCACUACCACAUUCAAAGGUCUGGUUGGGGUAGCUCUGUGUGGUGCAGUGGAGAUGUGGUUAUGGCAGACAAGGGGUUCACUAUUGAAUAUAUGCUCUCCAGUAUUGGUGCUAGACGGAUCAUUCCACCUUUCAAAUGUGCCAAGCAGUUCAGCAAACAGGACUGUGAAAAAACACAGGACCACUGCACGCCUCAGACUUCUGGUGGAAAGAGUGAUUCGAAGGGUCAAGGAAAUACACAUCUGGGAUUCUGUUGUGCCACUCACCUUGUCAGGAAGAAUUAAUCAGAUCUGGCAUAAUUGCUGUUUUAUGGUUUAUUAUCAGGGACCAAUGUUUCUUGAGCAGUGAAUCUAUAUUAUUACAAUAGUAGUGUUACAGUGUUAACAUUUGAUAGUAGUUUUUUAUUUAUUACAUUUUUUUUACCUUUUCAGUUAGUUGCAAUGCAUACCUACCACCAUUAAAUGUGUUUUUCCUUUUUUUAUUGUAAUGUAAAAUUGUAUAUUUUGUAUAAUGAAAUUAUUUAAAUAAAAUGUCCCUGAAAAUAAUUUCACAGACACAAUGAAA